GCGGGAGUCGCCGCCGCCACGGCGGGGCCGCUGCAGAAGGGUCGUGCUGAAGAAGUCCCUUGCCUGGCUGGCAAAACGUGUUUCCUAACCACAGGAAGGAUUUAGCCAGGGACAGAACGGUGAAUACAGUAUGCUAUAUGAGCUGCCAAGCCAAGCCAAGCAUGAUGGUGGUUAAAGAUUCAGAAAUCACUUUGCUUCAGUUGAAGAUUUAUGAGCAUAGAAAGCCUUUUCUGCAUUUCGUUAUGAUUUGACCCUGACCUCAUUCUUCUUGGAUGCAAAACACAAACUUGCCGUGGAUAUGGCCAUCUUCCAGAGGUCUCUCAUGUUGUCACUUCCUGCCUACCUUCAUUAAGGAAAAAUGGCCGAUUCGAUGGGAAACAUGACAAGAUGUACAGGAUUCUUCUAACCUCAUUAGACAGUGAGGUUGAGGGAGUCCUGAUGAUGCUGAUUGUAAUGGAAAGCUUGGUGGAGAGAGGUCAGAUAGUUGUGUCUGGAAAAAGAGAUGACCGAGGCAUUUAACAGGACACACUAUGGAGAUGUGCAGCAAAUUAAGGGACACACACAGUACAAACAACUGGGGGGAAAUCCAGCACUAGGUUGGUUUUUUGGGGUGGGUGGAGGUCUUGGGUAAGUGCCCCUGAGUGUAGGCCACCUUCUUUGUACAAACUCUUACCAUCCUCGCUACCAUUGGCACUGGCUGCUCUCAUGCCAGGGAGAGUUCUGAUGAUGUAGGCAGGAACAUCGUUUGCUUAUCCUGCUUUCGGUUGGUGCUGCUUGCUUGCUUAUCUCCUCUGGGCCAGAUGAAGGGU